GGCCAGCCUCAUCUCUCUAUCUAUCCCACUAUGAGUUUCUUCGAACCCAUCUAUCCUUCAACAUACGGUAGCCCAUACGACAUUGCGAUCGCUAGAUGCAAGUGUUAGAGGGCAUCAAAACUCAACCAAUCUCCCCCUCAAGAGGUAAUCUAAGCUCUCUGAAGAUAAAGGUGAGGGCCAUGUCAUAGGGUAGGUAGGCCUUUGCCCUCCCUACUACCUCUCUCAUGCAUGUAAAUAUCAACACUGGUAGGUUAAGUGGAAUGCUUUGGAGUAUGUGCACUAUAAUAAUCAAAUCCCUCUCAGAUAUG
rnacentral:lncRNA from 1 species